UACGUAGGUGGCAAGCGUUAUCCGGAAUUACUGGGCGUAAAGGGCUUGUAGGCGGUUAAUUAAGUCGAUUGUUAAAACCCCGGGCUUAACCCGGGAACGUCAGUCGAUACUGGUUAACUUAGAGUUGAGUAGAGGUAAGUGGAAUUUCCGGUGUAGCGGUGAAAUGCGUAGAUAUCGGAAGGAACAUCAGUGGCGAAGGCGGCCCCCUGGCCAGAGACUGACGCUCAGAUGCGAAAGCGUGGGGAGCAAACAGG
rnacentral:rRNA from 1 species